ensembl:misc_RNA Metazoa_SRP Metazoan signal recognition particle RNA
GCCAGGCGUGGUGGUGCAUGCCUGUAGUCCCAGCUACUCGGGAGGCUGAGGCAAGAGAAUUGCUUGAGCCUGGGAGGCAUAGGUUGCAGUGAGCUGAGAUCACGCCACUGCACUCCAGCCCAGGUAACAGAGUGAGACCCUGUCUCGA